UCUAGAGCCCUGUAAGGUAUGUUCUAUAGCCUAGUCUAGAACCCUGUAAGGUAUGUUCUCUAGUCUAGAGCCCUGUAAGGUAUGUUCUCUAGUCUAGAGCCCUGUAAGGUAUGUUCUAUAGCCUAGUCUAGAACCCUGUAAGGUAUGUUCUAUAGCCUAGUCUAGAGCCCUGUAAGGUAUGUUCUAUAGUCUAGUCUAGAGCCCUGUAAGGUAUGUUCUAUAGCCUAGUCUAGAGCCCUGUAAGGUAUGUUCUAUAGUCUAGUCUAGAGCCCUGUAAGGUAUGUUCUCUAGUCUAGUCUAGAGCCCUGUAAGGUAUGUUCUAUAGUCUAGUCUAGAGCCCUGUAAGGUAUGUUCUAUAGCCUAGUCUAGAGCCCUGUAAGGUAUGUUCUCUAGUCUAGAGCCCUGUAAGGUAUGUUCUAUAGCCUAGUCUAGAGCCCUGUAAGGU